CCAAUAGCGUAUAUUAAAGUUGUUGCAGUUAAAAAGCUCGUAGUUGAAUUUCGGGGUUCAUACGUUGGUCGGGCUUUUUUGGUCUGUACUUAUGUAAUGGAUUCCUACCUUCUGAAUAACCGGCAUGCCAUUAAUUUGGUGCGCCGGGGAAGCAGGACUGUUACCUUGAAGAAAUUAGAGCGCUUAAAGCAGGCUAUCGCCUGAAUACAUUAGCAUGGAAUAAUGAAAUAGGACGGCAUGGUUCUAUUUUGUUGGUUUCUAGGAUCACCGUAAUGAUUAAUAGGGAUAGUUGGGGGCAUUAGUAUUCAAUUGUCAGAGGUGAAAUUCUUGGAUUUAUUGAAGACUAACUUCUGCGAAAGCAUUUGCCAAGGAUGUUUUCAUUAAUCAAGAACGAAAGUUAGGGGUUCGAAGACGAUCAGAUACCGUCGUAGUCUUAACCAUAAACUAUGCCGACUAGGGAUCGGACGAUGUUAAUUUUUUAAUGACUCGUUCGGCGCCUUACG
rnacentral:rRNA from 1 species